rnacentral:rRNA from 1 species
AUUGAACGCUGGCGGCAGGCCUAACACAUGCAAGUCGAGCGGAUGAGAGGAGCUUGCUUCUCGAUUCAGCGGCGGACGGGUGAGUAAUGCCUAGGAAUCUGCCUGGUAGUGGGGGACAACGUUUCGAAAGGAACGCUAAUACCGCAUACGUCCUACGGGAGAAAGCAGGGGACCUUCGGGCCUUGCGCUAUCAGAUGAGCCUAGGUCGGAUUAGCUAGUUGGUGAGGUAAUGGCUCACCAAGGCGACGAUCCGUAACUGGUCUGAGAGGAUGAUCAGUCACACUGGAACUGAGACACGGUCCAGACUGCUACGGGAGGCAGCAGUGGGGAACAUUGGACAAUGGGCGAAAGCCUGAUCCAGCCAUGCCGCGUGUGUGAAGAAGGUCUUCGGAUAGUAAAGCACUUUAAGUUGGGAGGAAGGGUUGUAGAUUAAUACUCUGCAAUUUUGACGUUACCGACAGAAUAAGCACCGGCUAACUCUGUGCCAGCAGCCGCAGUAACAC